rnacentral:lncRNA from 1 species
GGAAACUUCAGGAACAAGAAAACCUGUGCCUUGUCCAUCCCUAUACUGCUUCUACUUCCAGAAGUCCAAUAGGAUGCCAUGAGAGACCAGGAGAUAAUGAAGAGAGAACCUAGAAGAACGCAGGGGCCUGCAAAGCUGAGUCGGCUGGAAGAGCAGAUGAGAAGAUGGAGCCUGGUGUGGUGUCACACACCUGUAAUCCCAGCACUCAGGAGGACUGCUAUGAGGCCAGUCUGAACUACACGGCGAGAUCCUGUCUCAAAAAACAAACAAAAAAAAAGAAGAAGAAGAGGCAAUGGAACUUAGAGAGCUGACCGCCUUUUCCCACAACUGGCCAUGUUCCUUAACUCAAAAGCCAGACAGUGUGAAUAGGGGCCUCCUGAGAAGCCAACCUAGAGGUGGGCAACUGCUCUCCCUUCACCAUGGCCUGCUGAGAAAGCUGGAAGGACACAGGACCCACUCACUGAGUAACAACAUCCUGGAGGGUUCACCUUGAAAGCACCAAGUUGCCCUUAAGCCAAAGCUUCCUCCAGAAAACAUAAAUGCUGCUAGAAGCUCCUAAAGUAAGUGCCCCACGUGGGACAAUAAAU